AAAAGUUAAAAAAGGCUUUGGGACGAGUUUAUCUGAAUAUUCAACUUGACGAGGUUUAUCCGGACUGCUGUGACACUUGCAGCCAGCAGUUAAUGAGAGAAGUGAGUGUGGGAGGUCAUUGAUGUAUAGAAGAAAAAGCAAAGGUCCAAGUGUUGACCCUUGUGGGACUCCGCAGGUAAUUGGUUGAAGGUCCGAUUCAGUGUUUCCUAAUUUGACAAACUGUUUUCUUUCAUUUAGGUAGCUUGAAAACCAUUUUUGUGGGGUAUCCCUAAUUCCAUAUUUGUACAUUUUAUCAAGUAAAAUGUUAUGGUUUAGGGUAUCAAAUGCCUUCGAGAAAUCAAGGAGAAUACCACAGGUCAGCAUGUUUUGAUCUAGUGCUGUUUUAAGGUUUUCGAUAGUUUCUAAGAUUGCAUGCUCUGUAAAGUGGCCUUUCCUGAAUCCAAACUGAUAUUGAAAUAAGAUAUUAUGCUUUUCAAGAUAGAAGAUUAAUUGAUCAUAUACAAGUUUUUCAAGGAUUUUUUUAAAGGAGAAAAGAAUAGCUAUUGGCCUGUAGUUUCCUGGUUGAGAGGGGUCACUUUUAAAUAUUGGGGUUACUCGUGAGAUUUUGAAGGUAUUACAAAAUAAAAGAAAGCAUCAAUAGAAAAAGGAGGUCCAAGAACGAAACAAGCAAUAAAGCAGCAGCUAACAAAACUGAAAACAUUCGAAGUUUUCGGGUACAGAGAAUACUUGAGUGCUUUGAGAAACAGGCCCCUGGUUAAGCAGUUAUAAUCACA